UACGAAGGGGGCUAGCGUUGCUCGGAUUGACUGGGCGUAAAGGGCGCGUAGGCGGUUCGUACAGUUGGAUGUGAAAUUCCUGGGCUCAACCUGGGGGCUGCAUUCAAUACGUGCGGGCUUGAGUUCGGAAGAGGGUCGUGGAAUUCCCAGUGUAGAGGUGAAAUUCGUAGAUAUUGGGAAGAACACCGGUGGCGAAGGCGGCGACCUGGUCCGAUACUGACGCUGAGGCGCGAAAGCGUGGGGAGCAAACAGG
rnacentral:rRNA from 1 species